rnacentral:rRNA from 1 species
CGUUAGAUAGUAGAAGGAUAAUUGGGAGGCAGGGGCAUGUAAGAACCGAAACUCGAGCAUCACGCUUUUCCAAGUGAAUAGCACAUGCAAAAACUUGGGCGCUGAGUGUUGAGCACGCGGUGAGAGUGGCGGACGGGCGAGUAACGCGUGAGCAACCAACCUUGCACUGGGGGGAUAACCGUCGGGAAACCGGCGCUAAUACCGCAUGACAUUACUGGAUCGCAUGGUCUUGUAAUCAAAGCUCCGGCGGUGCGAGACGGGCUCGCGUCCAAUUAGCUGGUUGGCGGGGUAAAGGCCCACCAAGGCGACGAUUGGUAGCCGAACUGAGAGGUUGAUCGGCCGCAUUGGGACUGAGACACGGCCCAGACUCCUACGGGAGGCAGCAGUGGGGAAUCUUGCGCAAUGGGGGAAACCCUGACGCAGCGACGCCGCGUGAAGGAAGAAGGCCUUCGGGUUGUAAACUUCUUUGAUCGGGGACGAAGCAGACGGUACCCGAGGAACAAGCCACGGCUAACUACGUG